CAUAUUUAAAAUCACAGAAAUUAAAUAUGAGAUGAAAUAAAAUAUUCAUUAGAAGCAGAAUAAGGUUUAUACAACUCCAAGAAUAAAAAUUAAAAAUAUAAAAAUCCUUGGCCCUUUGUUAGGGUUACAUCCGGCCCUGGAGAAGAGAUCAGCCCUGCAUGGAGUUGGAGACGGCAGCAGCAGCACAGCAGCAGGCUCCCAUCUCUUCCUUCAUUAUUUCUUUCUUUGAAAUAUUUCCAAAAUAACAAAACUCUUCUCUCUCCUCUUAUUUUUUUAUUCUCUCAUGUUCCCGUGGCUCACUCCCUCCCCUGUUUCCUCUUCUUCUUCCCGUGGGACUUGCCUCC
rnacentral:lncRNA from 1 species